GAUGAACGCUGGCGGCGUGCCUAAUACAUGCAAGUCGAGCGAAUGGAUUAAGAGCUUGCUCGUAUGAAGUUAGCGGCGGACGGGUGAGUAACACGUGGGUAACCUGCCCAUAAGACUGGGAUAACUCAGGGAAACCGGGGCUAAUACCGGAUAACAUUUUGAACCGCAUGGAUCGAAAUUGAAAGGCGGCAUCGGCUGUCACUUAUGGAUGGACCCGGGUCGCAUUAGCUAGUUGGUGAGGUAACGGCUCUCCAAGGCAACGAUGCGUAGCCGACCUGAGAGGGUGAUCGGCCACACUGGGACUGAGACACGGCCCAGACUCCUACGGGAGGCAGCAGUAGGGAAUCUUCCGCAAUGGACGAAAGUCUGACGGAGCAACGCCGCGUGAGUGAUGAAGGCUUUCGGGUCGUAAAACUCUGUUGUUAGGGAAGAACAAGUGCUAGUUGAAUAAGCUGGCACCUUGACGGUACCUAACCAGAAAGCCACGGCUAACUACGUGCCAGCCGCCGCUGUAA
rnacentral:rRNA from 1 species